GAUGAACGCUGGCGGCGUGCUUAACACAUGCAAGUCGAACGGAAAAGCCCUGGUUUUCUCGGGUGCUCCAGUGGCGAACGGGUGAGUAACACGUGAGUAAUCUGCCCUUGACUUUGGGAUAACCGCAGGAAACUGCGGCUAAUACUGGAUACGAGCUCCUACUGCAUCGUGGGCGUUGGGAAGGUACGGCGGUUGGGGAUGGACUCGCGGCCUAUCAGCUUGUUGGUGGGGUAGUGGCUUACCAAGGCGUUGACGGGUAGCCGGCCUGAGAGGGUGACCGGCCACAUUGGGACUGAGAUACGGCCCAGACUCCUACGGGAGGCAGCAGUGGGGAAUAUUGCACAAUGGGCGGAAGCCUGAUGCAGCAACGCCGCGUGCGGGAUGACGGCCUUCGGGUUGUAAACCGCUUUCGCCUGUGACGAAGCGUGAGUGACGGUAAUGGGUAAAGAAGCACCGGCUAACUACGUG
rnacentral:rRNA from 1 species